rnacentral:rRNA from 1 species
UACGAGGGGGGCGAGCGUUGUUCGGAAUUAUUGGGCGUAAAGGGUGCGUACGCGGUUUGGUAAGUCUGAUGUGAAAUCUAUGGGCUCAACUCCGGAACUGCAUCCGAUACUGCCAUGCUAGAGGAUUGGAGAGGUAGCUGGAAUUCUUGGUGUAGCAGUGAAAUGCGUAGAGAUCAAGAGGAACACUCGUGGCGAAAGCGAGCUACUGGACAAUUCCUGACGCUGAGGCUCGAAGGCUAGGGUAGCGAAAGGG